AUACUUACCUGGCAGUGGAGACACCAUGAUCAUGAAGGCGGUUUUCCCAUGGUGCGGCUCAUCCAUCACACUCUGGGGGUGCUAACCCCUAUGAUUUCCCCAAAUUAGGAAACUCAACUGCAUAAUGUGUGGUAGUGGGGAGUAGGCUUGUUGCCACA